UUACUGAAGUGGAUGUCGUCGUGCCACAACUAUGCGUUGGAUCUCAAGGCUGGCUGGGCGUCCACAUCGUCCACUGCAGGGUCGAGGUCAGGGGUCUCAAGAUGAAUGUAUCUCUUCUGUUUAUGCUUGCAAUUCUUUCCUUCUCUACAUUGCACUCCAAUUGUUUCCUUUGCUCAUUUAUUCUCAUAUAGAUGCUUUGCGCUUAAGUGCCUAUAACAAACUAUGUCACCAUUUCCUGCUAUUUAAGUAUGAUUAUGCCAGAUGUGAGCAUUUACCAUGUACUGUAAUAUCUAAUGAUUCAAUCAAUGUAAGAUGAAGAUUUCCAGAAAAUAUCAAGUAUUGGGAGAUGCAUAUUUAGGCCUGGAACUAUCUUGCCAAAACUUCUAUACAUAUAGCGACCUCUUCGUUUUUUUCCUGCUUCUAGGUGUUGGUGCUGGUUCUGACUUAUUUACGAUCACAUUUAUAAAGUGCUACUCUCCUUCAUCUCAUGUUUCUAUCCUAAUCCAACUAACUGGUUGUGUUGUGGACGGCAUCACCAUAACCAUAUCGAUGGUCCAAGCCCCUUUCUCGUGUUUUUUGUUUCUUAACCUACAGGCUGUUGUGCUCGAGUUGAUGAGGCAUCCUCGCAUAAAUGGAUUGAGAGUCAAAGCGCCAGAGGCUGGAAGAAAGGCAUUUCCAAAAUUGAACUGACAAAUGCUGACAUACGCAAGCCUCUGUUCCUAGAUGAUAUCUCUAAGUGCACUAAGGAAGACGCCAUCAUCUUAUGAGGCAGUGGCCAAUAAGAUCAAGAAAUCCAAGCGAGUAGGCC